ensembl:misc_RNA Metazoa_SRP Metazoan signal recognition particle RNA
GCCGGGCAAAGUGGCUUAUGCCUGUAAUCCCAACACUUUGGGAGGCUGAGGCAGGUGGAUCACCUGAGGUCAGGAGUUUGAGACCAGCCUGACCAACAUGGAGAAACCCUGUCUCUA